rnacentral:misc_RNA from 1 species
CUGCGUUGUGCCCCGGCCGGGGAGAUGGAGAAGAACCAGGGGACGGGACGGAGGGCGCAGUGCGAAGUGUGCAAGAAGCUCCGGCGCUCCUGCCCGCUGAACUGCAUCUUCGCGCCCAACUUCUCGGCGGAGGAGUUCGCCGCCGUGAAUCGCGUCUACGGCUCCGGCAACGUGGCCAAUAUGAUCCGUUGCGUCACGCCCAGCGAGCAGCGGCGGGUCGCCGCGGCCACGCUCGUCGCGGAGGCCAGGGCGCGGGAGCGGGACCCCGUCUUCGGCUGCGUCUCCUACAUCCGCAUCCUCCAGGAGUUCAACUACAACGCCAGGAAGCAGGUGGACGAGGCGCGGGAGGAGAUCGCCAGGGAGUUCGGCGCCGCGGCGGCCGCCGAGCCGGUCGACCUCGCGGCCGCGGGACCGGCGGUCAGGCUGGAGGCGCGGGCGCAGGUCGACGCCGCGCUCAAGGAUGCCAGGGAGCUGGACGCCAGGAUGCUGGACGUCCGGAAGGGCAACGACGUCAUAUUGUGGCGGGAGCUGCAACAGCAACAGGCGGCCGUUAAGGGGAAGGGGAAGGGGAAGCGCGCCAUGAAAGGGAAGGAAGUCGACGUCAAGCGCCGCCGCCACGAGCCCUCCUUGAGCGAGCAGACAAUGCAGGUUGUUCCACAGGCCGCAAAGCCGCGCAACCCCGGGCCGCCGGGAUUCCCUGACGACCACUCGCGGCAGCAGGUGGCGGUAGCGGUGGCGGAGGCCGAGCGGACAGCGCCGCCGGAUGCCCCGGAGGGGCACGGACAUGGCCGGCAGCUGCACCACCAGAUGUCGGAGCCGGAGGCGCAGCAGCAGGCUUCCGCGGCAGAUGCAUCUGCGGGACAGCACACUGGGACAGGGCAUCCGCACCAUGCAGGAGAUGCUGCUGCCCCGGACAUACCGGCGGGACCGGGACAUGACAGCAGCACCUCGGUCAUCCGCGCCAUGCAGGAGGUGCAGCAUGCCGGCGCCACGGGCGAGCAGGAUCAGCACCACGUGGCGCAACACGCCCAGAACGAGCACUGCGUCGCCCUUGGGCACGGCGACCCGUACGGGAUAUCCCAGGACAUCCUGCAGCUGCAGUUGUUGUUGAUGGGGCAGUGCGGCGCGGCGCCGGCGACGGAGCAGGACGUGACGGCGAUGAUGCAGCAGAUGGCGGCCGCUGCGUCUGGUUGGCAGCAGCAAGACCACCCCGCCCCGCAGCCGCAGUAUGCUGAGAUGCGUGACAACACCCUUGGACACGGGCAUGGCCACCCGGACGGGCUAUCGUCCGAGGAGAUCCUGCAGCCGCAGGAGUUGUCGAUGGAGCAGUGCGACGCGGCGGUGGAGGGCACGGCGCCGGCAGAGCAGGACGUGAUGGCGAUGAUGCAGCAGAUGGCGGCCGCUGCGUCUGGUUGGCAGCAGCAAGACCACCUUGCCCCGCAGCCGCAGUAUGUUGAGAUGCGUGACAACACCCUUGGACACGGGCAUGGCCACCCGGACGGGCUAUCGUCCGAGAAGAUCCUGCAGCUGCAGGAGUUGUUGAUGGGGCAGUGCGAUGCCGCGGAGGAGGGCGCGGCGCCGACAGAGCAGGAGGUGAUGGUGAUGAUGCAGCAGAUGGCGGCCGCUGCGUGGCCGCAGCAAGACCCCGCCCCGCAGUAUGCUGAGACUGACAUCACCAUUGGGCAUGGCCACCCGGACAUGCAGAAGUUGUUGGACACGACAGAGCUCGCAAGAAACCAGCUGAUGACGAACAACUACGUGACGACGAUGGUGCAGCAGAACUCGUCCUCUGUCCUUGCACCUAGCUCGCCUCGAGGACGGACGUCGCCUCGGCCGGGCCUCCUUCCACCUCGUGAUUGGCCAUGGUAA